rnacentral:rRNA from 1 species
GACGAACGUUGGCGGCGUGCUUAACACAUGCAAGUCGAACGGAAAGGCCCUGCUUUUGUGGGGUGCUCGAGUGGCGAACGGGUGAGUAACACGUGAGUAACCUGCCCUUGACUUUGGGAUAACUUCAGGAAACUGGGGCUAAUACCGGAUAGGAGCUCCUGCUGCAUGGUGGGGGUUGGAAAGUUUCGGCGGUUGGGGAUGGACUCGCGGCUUAUCAGCUUGUUGGUGGGGUAGUGGCUUACCAAGGCUUUGACGGGUAGCCGGCCUGGGAGGGUGACCGGCCACAUUGGGACUGAGAUACGGCCCAGACUCCUACGGGAGGCAGCAGUGGGGAAUAUCGCACAAUGGGCGGAAGCCUGAUGCAGCAACGCCGCGUGCGGGAUGACGGCCUUCGGGUUGUAAACCGCUUUCGCCUGUGACGAAGCGUGAGUGACGGUAAUGGGUAAAGAAGCACCGGCUAACUACGU